rnacentral:rRNA from 1 species
UACGUAGGGUGCAAGCGUUAAUCGGAAUUACUGGGCGUAAAGCGUGCGCAGGCGGUGACGUAAGACAGAUGUGAAAUCCCCGGGCUCAACCUGGGAACUGCAUUUGUGACUGCAUCGCUGGAGUCCGGAAGAGGCGAGUGGAAUUCCUGGUGUAGCGGUGGAAUGCGUAGAGAUCCGGAAGAACACCGGUGGCGAAGGCGGUCUGCUGGGGUAAUGCUGACACUGAUGCGCGACAGCGUGGGGAGCAAACAGG